UACGUAGGUGGCGAGCGUUGUCCGGAUUUACUGGGCGUAAAGAGCGCGCAGGCGGCCGUACAAGUCGCGUGUGAAAGCCCCUGGCUCAACUGGGGAGGGUCACGCGAUACUGUUCGACUCGAAGGCAGGAGAGGGAAGUGGAAUUCCCGGUGUAGUGGUGAAAUGCGUAGAUAUCGGGAGGAACACCAGUGGCGAAGGCGACUUCCUGGCCUGUUCUUGACGCUGAGGCGCGAAAGCUAGGGUAGCAAACGGG
rnacentral:rRNA from 1 species